rnacentral:snRNA from 1 species
GUACUCGCUUCGGCAGUACAUAUACUAAAAUUGGAACGAUACAGAGAAGAUUAGCAUGGCCCCUGCGCAAGGAUGACACGCAAAAUCGUGAUUAAACUCCAGGUUGU